rnacentral:rRNA from 1 species
GAUGAACGCUGGCGGCGUGCCUAAUACAUGCCAGUCGAGCGAACAGACGAGGAGCUUGCUCCUCUGACGUUAGCGGCGGACGGGUGAGUAACACGUGGAUAACCUACCUAUAAGACUGGGAUAACUUCGGGAAACCGGAGCUAAUACCGGAUAAUAUAUUGAACUGCAUGGUUCAAUAGUGAAAGACGGUUUUGCUGUCACUUAUAGAUGGAUCCGCGCCGCAUUAGCUAGUUGGUAAGGUAACGGCUUACCAAGGCAACGAUGCGUAGCCGACCUGAGAGGGUGAUCGGCCACACUGGAACUGAGACACGGUCCAGACUCCUACGGGAGGCAGCAGUAGGGAAUCUUCCGCAAUGGGCGAAAGCCUGACGGAGCAACGCCGCGUGAGUGAUGAAGGUCUUCGGAUCGUAAAACUCUGUUAUUAGGGAAGAACAAAUGUGUAAGUAACUAUGCACGUCUUGACGGUACCUAAUCAGAAAGCCACGGCUAACUACGUG